rnacentral:rRNA from 1 species
GAUGAACGCUGGCGGCGUGCCUAAUACAUGCAAGUCGAGCGAACAGACGAGGAGCUUGCUCCUCUGACGUGAGCGGCGGACGGGUGAGUAACACGUGUAAAACCUACCUAUAAGACUGGGAUAACUUCGGGACAGCGGAGCAAAUACCGGAGAAUAUAUUGAACCGCAUGGGUCAUUAGUGAAAGACGGUUUUGCUGGCACGUAUAGAGGGAUCCCCGCCGCAUUAGCUGGUUGGUAAGGUAACGGCUUACCAAGGGAACGAUGCGUAGCCGACCGGAGAGGGGGAUCGCCCACCUUGGAAGUGAGACAGGGUCCAGACUCCUGCGGGAGGCAGCAGUAGGGAAUCUUCCGCAAUGGGCGAGAGCUUUACGGAGCAACGCCGCGUGAGUGAUGAAGGUCUUCGGAUCGUAAAACUCUGUUAUUAGUGAAGAACAAAUGUGUAAGUAACUAUGCCGUUCUUGACGGUAACUAAUCAGAAAGCCCCGGCUAACUACGUG